UUUCAUUCUAAUUCAACUUUGCAGUCUCGUGGAGUAAUUUCUAGUUUGCUAACUAUUUUCCACUAGGCUUUUUUGUGCAAAGUCAAAAUCGACCAACCCAAUCCAGUCUGACCGUAACUUGAUUAGGUUAGGUUGGAUUGGUUUGAAAGACAUAAAUGGGUUGGGUUGAUUUUCAAUCAAACCAAUCGUGUUGGGUUGGGUUUGGGUUGAGUCAAAAAUUGACCCAACCCAACCCAACCCAUGCCCACCCCUAAUUAAGAUAGCCCUUAUCCCAUGCCCAGAAGUAUCAGUCUCAAUUGUGAAGACUUGUAAAAAAAUCUGGAAGAGCCAAUACUGACAUCGUUGUCAUUGCUUCUUUCAAUUUUGUGAAGGUAGACUCUGUUGCGUCAUUCCACCCGAAGCUAUCUUUCUCUAGUAGUUGAGUUCACGGCCAAGCUAUCUUUCCAUAGGAUUCCACAAGCCGUCGAUAAUAUCUAGUCAACACCCACCCCACAGUUCUUUAAGUGUCUGAUGAUGUGGCUAGUCUUUCAUAGCAGAUAACUUGUAUUUGUCUGUUGCCACUCCAUUGUCUAAUAUGAUGUGCCCGAGAUACUCUAUCCCCGUUUGCCCAAAUGAACAUUUCUUCUUGUUUGCAAAGAGCUUGUUUUCUACUAGAAUUCAGCUCCACCAGAUUGAUAGACUAUGCCUUUGAAUUCAGUUGGGAUCCACCUGGAGUCAAGAUGAGAAUAGCACAUAGACAGAAAUGAAAUUCCGUAUUGAUUUGGGAAUGGAAUUACAAAACACGAAAGGAUUUACAAGCAGCAUUUAGAGAGGACUAUGACUCUCCACACACUAAUUUCACUCACUAAAAUGAACAUAUCUUUCUUCUCUCACUCUUUUUCUAUUUAUAGACUCAUGUAAUAGAUUUUGGCUACCUCGCCGCACCUUUCUAAUAGAAUUUGUUACUGCCUUCUUCUUUCUCCAUUCUGAUUGUUUCUUCUAGAAUAUGUGUAUUUAAUUGGGGGCUUAUCAGUUGUCUUAUUUUCUGAAUGAAUUGUUGAGAAAUUAAUGUGUCAUUGUUAGGUUUUAUGUAAUUGGUGAUUCUGUGAACAAAAAGGACUAAAUUGAACACGCGUAAAGUCAAGGAGUUAUAUGCAAUUUUGUAUAGAUAAGUCAGGCAAGUUAGGAUUCGAGUCCGGAAUAAGAAAAGAAGAGACGUCGCAUUUUCGCUAGCUGCUGGCCAAGACAUUGUUCGAGCGACAAAAACAGAAUGAUCAUCGCUAGCCUGUCACUCGAACUUCGCUCGAUUUAAAGUUUGUCGCUUAUUUUUCGCUGGAGUGACCGUGUUAUGUGACCAACCCUAAUUUGCGAUUUUGAAAGGUUUUACAUGGACUAUAAUACCUAAAAAUCUCUAACUAUAAAUAUCCAAGCUUUGUACUUUUUUAUGGUGGUUGUUCAUUAUGCCUUAUAUACAUAUCAUAAUCAUAUCAAUCUUUUGGUGAUGCAAGACCCUACUCAUACCUUGAUUCAAUCCUUUGAUUCUUGAGAUCUUGCAACCACAUAUUUGGAAAAACAUCAAAUACUUGAAUCCAAAACACCUAACUUCUUAACACCAUAAGGAAGAGACUUUUUCAGUUGGGCAUUGGGAGAGGUGGACUGCAAGCACGGGAAAAGCAUAAGAAUUGACUAUUCUUGAAAUUUCACUUGGAAGAGACAAUUGGAGAUAAUCGGGAAGCCAGUGGAGUCAGCAGAUCUUGGAGAUUACACAAGGUGGAUCGAAAAGUCUAGUGGAGUUGGCUAGACAAUAUCUAACUCUAAGGCUCAUUGUCUAUAGUGGAGGUAACUGACUUGGUCCCGGAGUUUUUAUCCAUUUGGGUUUCUUCGAUAACAAUAUUGGUGUUAUUUAUUGCUUUCAUAGUACAAUCUACAGUAAUUCAACAAAGAAAAAUUUGACUUGCAUGCGUAACCAUCUAAAAAUAAUUAAUAAGUGACUUGUCGCUUAUAAUUGUAUAUUCCGCACGUAAGGACAAACUAAAUCAGAUAAGUAAACAAACUUUCAAUAAUCCUUAUGAGUAGUAGGUGUAGUUAUAUACUGUUUUGAAGUUUGAAGUGCUGUGAGUGUUUUGGGAUAGGCUUCCGGUUCUUGGUAGUGCUUGUAACAUUGAACUAUUGCAAACCCGUUUCAUGGUGAAAUAGUGCAAUGGGGACAUAUCUGUCAUUUUUGAGGAGAGCGUUGAGAAUUAGAAACCCUAAUUUAAUACCAUCGAGAGUAAUAAUAUCGCAGAAAGAAAAUAGACAUACAAAAAUGAGCAAAAUUUAUAGAAGUUUGUGUUAAUGUGGGACUACAUUAUCUUUCGUAACUACCAUAAGAAGUUUACAAGAAAAACUCACACCCUAGGUAGAUUCGCGUACGGUAGCUACACACGACAAUAAUUAUGUUCCACAAUUUAGCAAAGAGUUCGUAAGCAGUGGCCUGCUGAAUUCCCUGCCCUUGAUUAGUGGCAAAAGAAAUCUGGCGUUCUUUUGAUUUCUUGCACGCGAUUUUAUUUUCUGCUGCACGAUUCUUGUUCUCUGAUACCUAACACUAUGAAGAAACUCCUGAUGAUGAGGCUUGGCAGUGGAUCUUCGUUGAGGCUACAGAUGUGAAGGUGC
rnacentral:lncRNA from 1 species